ACGUAGAAUCUCCACAUCCCUUCCCCCAUGCCUUGCCCUAUGUGUCUCUUCAUCUGUAUGCUUUGUAAUAUACUUUAUAAUAAACUGGUAAUCUCAAGUGUUUCCCUGAACUGCUUCAGCAAAGUAAUCAAACCAGAGGGGGUCGCGGAACCCCGACUUGAAGCCAGUAGGUCAGAAGUUCCAGAGGCUCAGAUUUGCAGCAAGGAGUAUCUGCCACAAGGGUGUGUUGGUGCCGGCAGUCUUGGGGACUGAGCCCUCAGCCUAUGGGAUCUAAUGCUAUCUCCAGCCAACCAUGUUCCCCAGGCUACCCUGGGAGGUAUAGGAAAAGGAACACACAGGGUCCACCAGAUAUGGGAGAAAGAACUAUGGGAGGUGGACGCAGCUCCUUCACAAGGUGAAGAGGAUGAGAAAGGCCACCAUCAGGCAGAAGAGCUCCAAGGCCUCCCAGAAGGCAAAGCCCAGAAGGGUGUAGGAGAACAGCUGCUGCUUCAGAGAAGUGCUCCUGGCAUAACCAAUGAUGAGUCUCUCAAACACAGUCCCAGCCCCAGAGCCGGCCACUCCAACUACAGCAGCCCCAGCCCCAGCCCCAAUGAACUUGGCUGCUGUGUUGAUGUCCCUUGAAAUGGUGCUGGUUUGGAAGCUGUGGCUAAGGACAAGUGAGGUAAGGGGACAUGAGACUGCCAAGCUGCUGAGACUCUCAUCUGUCAGUGUCUCUGGUUGUUUCAGCACCACUGAGGAUAGUGGACAACUCAUCAGCUGUGAGGCACUCUUGACCAAGGAGGGAGUGGAGGCAAACUUGGAGCAAGCAUAGAUUUUCAGCGGGUGAGGGGCUGUGGCAGAGAGCUGCUCUGGGUGCAGAGAAAACCGGAAGACUCUCCUGUUUCACAUACGUUGGAGGGUCAGGAGGAGGGAACGAUUUGGAAGACAUAAAAUUGGAUGGUGUAUAUUGACCCUCUUUAAGAGGCAGAUAUCUGCUGUCAGCACAUCUUGAUAUACAUUCCCUGUCCACUCAUUAUCCAGGAUAGCACCUUUAUGUCUUCUAACACCCUGUAUUUCCUUAUCUAUGAAACAGGGAUAUUUAGUGAUAACCUGCAUUUCCUUUGUAGGAUAACCUACAUUUCCUUAGAACAUUCCUAGUAAUAUAACUGAUUUUUUCUCACUCCCCUAUUUACCAUGUAGACCUAAUCUAUUGAAGCCAUAUACUAAAGAAGACCCUUAUGGUGCUAAGGAGUACAUCUUGGGGCCAAGAAAUCAAAAGCCUCCACCCUAGUGUGUAUUUUCAAGUGCUGGCUGGCCAGUUUCUAUCAAGGAUCCACUAAACCACUAAUGAAAGCCUCAAAAAUAAACAUAAUGCAAAACAAACACUUGGAGAGAAAGGUUAAGUUAAUUUUUAAGUACUUUCCUAGCAUUUUUUCCUGCUAAUGCCCAAGUACUCCUCAAAGGAUGUGUUUUUAUGUUGAUAAGGGAGAGUGGAGGCUACGAAAAGGAAAUAGGACUAAAAGAUGAGAACAAGGGUGAAGCAUGGACUGGUCUAUGAGCUGGGAUUCAAACGGCACAUUUCCCACUUCCAGAAUUGUGGUGAACACCAUGAGGUC
ensembl:lncRNA